UUGGAACUGAGUAAAAAGCUCCUUCCUUCUUGCCUAAAGUCAGGCAGCCCCUAAUAUUAGGGGCAGAUCAGAACUGGCUGGAAGAUACAGGUUCCAGUUUCAUUCCUCGUCAUCCUCCAGAAUCACCAAAUAUAGCUGUCCCGAGACAAAGCAGACCCCAUAUCACGGGAAAAGCCUCUGUAUCCCAUUCUCUAAUCUCUCUGAUCCCACGAGCACCAGAUCAGGGCCAGCAUCCCUCCUAUCCUAUUUGAGCUAAGUUCUGCUCUGCAAAGAGCUGGGUUGCUAUUGCAAACAAUUCUCUUCGGAAGCAUACGAACAUGAGUCCCCAACUCCUUGUACUACACUUCAUGAGCACCACGGGAAACUGAUUAGAAAGCAGCUCCUAAUUAAUCCUGGGGAUAAUACACCUUGCAACUAGGCAACAAAGGAGAUCAUUAAAUAACAGCGAACCAAGGAACCACCAGACAAUGAAUGAGCUGAGACAGGAGACAAUUACACGCUAAUGGUUUGGCUUAGCGGCAGGGACACAGUGCAAAACUCGACAAACUCCUACUAACAUCAGUGUGACACCCACCAGCUUCACGGAAAGCUUGGAGUCAUGUCUGCGGUGAGGGCGCACUGGCUACUGUGAACUACACUCCCAAAGCAGUGAGGCUGGGGAAGGGGUUUCGGCCUGACUGACUCCCCUGGAGUGAUGUAGCUUUAUGCUACCUGGGUAACUAGUUCAUUGAUGCCAAGCGAGCACGAUGAUAUACAGCAAGUGGGAAUCUUCUCCCCCUUCAACAUCCAGGAAAGGCACGGACAAUUUACAGCAGGUGUAAGGGAAAGCAAAAGUUCUCACUGCCAGGGAUUUUGCUCUUCUCUCAUCAUUCACGGUGCUUAAUUUUAUUCUUGUGAAUUGAGAAUGUUCUGGGAUAUGCAGCAGCUGGCCUUAUCAAAUACAAAUAUAAAUAGAGAUAGAAGAGACAUGAGAAGAUGUAGGCUUUCCCCUAAACCUGACCCCAUGACUUGCUCAGGAUAGUACGUGGCUUCAGGCCCACCCGUGCAUUUAAAACAUCGAAUCAGGUUCUCAGGAGGUGUAAAUUUGAUGAGUUGGGUAAGGCCCGGUGGCUGCGCACACGGGGCCCACUGCACUGUCCUACCCGGUGGGGGACCGCUGUGCUUAGCGCGGCACAAGCAAGGACAUACGGGGAGGCGGUGAUGCAGACAGGGGCUGCGCGCUGGAUUCCUGGAGCACGUGCUGGCAAUGAGAUGCCGGCCUGGACGAGAUUGCCGUUCCCGGGUCCCCUCGAUACCCCCACCCCUCCCGGGCCCGUGGGCACAGAUCUGCUCCAGUCCAGCAUCCCCAACCGCCUGCCCUCUCACUGGGAGUGGGAGAGGGGGAGCAAAAGGGGAAGAGCUGUGGGAUGGGAAAAGGAUCAGGACCCGGGUAGGGGCCGGUUUGGAGCCAGGAUCUAGGGCGGGUGUCACGUGACGGUGUGACGUGUCCCACAGCCGGGGAGAGUGGCGCCCUCCGGUGCACCCAACGCCCGGGACGCUGGAGACCCGAGCGGGCGGAGCCGGAGCCAUGAGGCUGCUGCUGCCCGUGCUCUGCCUGCUCUGCGCCGUCUCCUCCUGCGGAGCCCAAGUGUCCCAGAGCCCCGAGGUGCUGGUGACCCGCGAAGGGGACCGCUCCACCAUGACCUGUACUUACUCCAACACUUACCAGACUUUCCAGUGGUACCGGCAGGCCCCCUCGGGGGAGAUCACCCACCUCCUCACUGUAGCCGCCGACCAGAAUGUCACGGCGGGGCGGAUCACGGGGGAGAGGCUGGAGAGCGGCACGAGGAGCGCCCUGCGCCUGGUCCCGCACGGCCUGGCGGACUCGGGCCGGUACCUCUGUGCGGUGGGUGCACAGUGACACGGGCGGAGCCGGCCGCCGCGCACAAACCCGCCCUCCCCUGGCAGCCCGGGCGGGCGGGACACCGGCAUUCCCUGUCAGCUUCAAGGAAGCCAGGUCUUUCCUGGGUGUAAGCUGUCCCCUUUCCCGUUGCACUUGCUGGUCCGCAUGAGGCUGCGGUCAGUGGAAGCGGGUCAAUUUGGAGCAGGGCCGGAAAUGGGCGGGUGUGAAAAGCCGAGAGCCAGUGCAGGGAGACGGGACGGGCUGGCCGCGGCGCACGGGGCCGAGAUGCGAGUGGAGGACGCGCGUGGACGAAAUGGAGAGUCUCCCUGCAUCCAGCGGCGAGAGGAGGUCAUGGCCCCCGGGCGCCGGCGGGCGGGGUGGAGCGGGGCGGGGCGGGCCGGGGCGGCGGCCGGCCCUUCAGAGGAGAAAAGGAGGGCCAGAGUCUCCCUUCGUCGGUCCCAAGCAGACCCUCCCCGGCCCGCAGCGCACGCUCCGUCCCGCUCUCCUGCGGGCUUCCGCGGCCAGAGGAAAAGGAGGCUGCUCCCAGGACGGCGGGAGCGGUCACGGCAGCUCCGGCAGGAUGAACAGCGCUGCGGGGAGUGGUCGGGAGGCGGCGAUGAGCGAGACCCGGGUCUGAGCUCUCCCCUCCGCGGGCCUGUUCUCCGCCCAACCCCCCGCGGGGCUGCAGCCCAGCCCAGCAGCUCCGUGCCUGCCCGCGGCUUCCCGCACCCGCGCUCCCAGCCCAUGGCCUCGCUCCCUCUCCCCACGAUCCGUACCGCUUUCUCCCCGCUCCUUUGUCCCCUUCCCCUCUGCUGCACCCCUCGGUCAUACCCGGAGGACAUCAUGGUUUAGAGGGGUGGGUUCCGCGAGCGGGACGAGCUCUCCGCCAACGUGUGAAGGACGGGAACAUUUCCCUUCAAGAGAAAAACGCAUUCUCUCCCCCUCCCUCCCUCUUAUGAUGUCAAUGACUCGGUGAAGACGUCACAAGCGGGGUGUUCUCCGUUCGCUGGGUCGCCCUGCCGUUGGUUCGUGCCCCCUACGUGCCAGGUGACGUGCCGCAGCGCCAAACUCUCCCGCCGGCCAAAAAAAGCGCGGAUGCAUCCCGACACCAGAGUCGCUUCGAGGACUCGAGCCCACAGUUGCUGGAGCCAUGAGGCUGCCUCUGCCCUUGGUCUCCCUGCUCUGCGCCUGUGAGUCUGCGCCUGGGGCGCCCCGGGCCCCGCACGCCCGGCUGGGGGACUCCGGGGAGGAGAGCGGAACCCGGCCCGGGCUUUGUUGGUCGGAGGAGGCUGCAUCCGCGGGAAGGGGACUCUGGGGAAGGGGCUUCCACUCUCUGCCGGGCACGCGCAGCCCCGCCGGGUGCUGGAGAGAAGCAGCGGGAGGCUGUGCCAUUUCUGAGCUCCCUUUCCUAUGUUUGGGUGAGAGACGCACGAUGAACAGGGAGGUUUGGACAGACGAGCCAGUGUUAGCGCUGAGAAAUACACCCAUACUGGAUGGACGGAUGGAGGAUGGAGGCAGAGGGGAGAAAUAAUUGUAGGUUGAAUGGUGGAGAGAGAGAACCUGUGAGGAGGACUCGGCAGAGCCUACAACAGCGAAGACCCCACAGAGGGGAAGACAGACAAGGCAGGUCUGACAUCCCCAGAACUGGCAGAUCGAUGCUGGAAUUCCGUCUU